AUAGACUGGCGCUUUAUGACUGACUGAGCUGGCUCUGCAGCAGGUCGGCAGGACUGCGGCUCUCUCAAUUGUGGCAGCAGCAGCGGCCUUUUCGAGCCAGACACUGCGCGCAGCUCCUACAGCGCCUUCUGCAAGGGGCUCACACACACGCUGCUCACCUUCUAAGACCUGCCCUGGCGCCUGCGCGUGAACUUCCCCUACUUCUACAUGGUGGCCUCCGUGAUGCUCAACGUCCGCCUGCAGGUGCGGAUCGAGUGAGCAAACGCUCCCCGCCGCGGCGGAGAGGGUCACCCGUGCCUUCCGCGCCGUCCUGGCGGCCACAGUAAGGACAGCGGGGCCACACGGUGCCUCGAGACUGCGGCGGGGGACGCAGGCGGCACGGCCGGGGCCCCUCCAUUUUAGGUCUCUGCUGAGGGCCUAAGGAACCGCAUCCCACACCGCAAAAACCUUCACAGCCCAGUCCUUUUCCUCUGCAUCCAGAGAAUCGCCAGAGUCUGGCAAACCUGUUGCCUCCCCAUUGGCCGAAAGCGGGAGAGGCCCAAAGAAGGGAUGCUACCACAGGACUUGAUUUACCAGGCCCUGUGCCUGAAGACAUUGGUCUUCUGGGUGAUGGCUCACCCCGUCUCUGAACAUUUCAAAUCGGAUCCUAGAGGUGCCACUGUUGCUGUAGUAGCCCAGGUAGCAGCUGAGUGAAGAGCCUGCCUAGAAGGAGAGGGGCCUUUCUGGUGAGCCCAGAGGAGUGAGGUGGCUCAGGUCUCCUGGUCCCUCCACAGAAAAGCCUUGGACACUGAUAUCUCCCAGUAAGUGUGAGGGAGAUGUGCUCUCCCACCUGUUACAGGAGAAGAGGAGAGAGCCCAGCCUGUCUUGGACCGGCAUUCCUCCAUCCCUGCUACAGUUUCUCCACAACCUGGCAGGACAUUGGGGUUGGGAGGGAGUGGAGAGCUACCAAGGGGCCUAGGGAGAAAGAGAGGCCAUGAGAUAGGGGAGCUGGACGUCUGCAUUCCCUUGGAGUGGUCUGAAAGACGGGUGAACAGUUGAUUUCAUAAAUAGAGGGUAAGGUUCAAGGAUUUCCUAAAAUGUCCAGCCCCCUCCAGAACCAAGCCCCCCACUUCUCUGGUGCUUGACUAAGAGCUCCUGGGCUAUUGUGUGGUAUGGACAGCCGUGAGGAUGGCAUUGUGGUUUAUAGGGUCAUGAUGUCACUGGAAGGUUGAGGAGAUGUGGCUGAGACCCAUGGUAUGGCCCUGUUUCUCUGUUCCCAGCUCGCAGGCCCAUCCCUGGUGUCACAUGGGAAAUCUCAUCCAGAUAAGCAGAGGACAGCCUGUCCAGGAGGCCCUAUCUAGGGUAGAAGUUGUGAUCUCUCAAUGCCCAAGAAUGGCCCAAGGGAUACUUUUGUUACUUAUCCCACACUCCUCCAACUUCUCUGGUACUGUUAUCUCAAGGUCUAUUCAUUCCUUUCCAGCAUGCCAGCCGGCCAGCCCCAGGGACAGAGGGGCCCAACUGCCCACUCAGAGUCAGAUAAAGAUCUCAGUUUGUCUCACCCAAAGGGCACAAACUGAAUGGUGGCUGCCACAUGGCCUCUGCUGCUCACCAUAGGGCAGGACUAAUGGCUUCCUUCUCCCAAGUUUCACUAGUAGUCCAUGUACGUAUGUUUGAAUGCAUGUGUGUGCGCCUAUAUGUAAAUGUGUGUGAUGGGGUGGAGUCGUUGGGUAGGGAAAGGAGCUCCUGGAAAUCCCCUGUUUUCCAAGUUACAGGAAGGAUCAUGGACUACUGGGAGAAAUGAGUGUGAAGCCUGAGGCCCCUUCCUCUUAGACCUCACACUACUACAGGGAAGCUCGUCCCUGCCCAUGCUCAGACAUCGGCUAUGGUGUGAGAUCAGAGCACUGGUAUUAGGCUAGACUUUGGGCCCAGUGAUGUCAUCCUGGAGAGAGGCAGAGUUAGGACUCAGCUUUGAGCUCAUGUCCCGUUCUGGCCCUGAUUAGUCUGUGAGCUUCUGCUUUGGCGUCCCCUUGGCUACUUUUGUUCUUCCGUGGUGCCCUCGCUGUAUGAUGUCAUGGUGCCCUUGCUGUAUGAUGUCAUGGUGCCCUCGCUGUAUGAUGUCAUGGUGCCCUCGCUGUAUGAUGUCAUGGUGCCCUCGCUGUAUGAUGUCAUGGUGCCCUGUAUUUGCAGGCUGUAUGAUGUCAUGGUGCACUGUAUUUGCAGGCUGUAUGGCAGGCAAUGGAGCUUCAAAUUCAGAGACUUAGCCUGGAUGACCUUACAUUUCCAUGUGUGUUGGACUCUGCCUGGCCAGCUCCGUCCGGUCAGAGAUAGGGUUUUCGAAAUUGUCACGUUAUCUCCCAAAGGUAAAAGAACAUCUGUACACCAAACACUGCCUGUCUGCCUCCUGUUUCUGGUGGGUGCCAUACCUUAUCCUGGGUGGGGAAAUGGGUGGGACAUGGGACAGCAAGCUCCAAGCCAAGAGGGCAAUCCAGAGAUGAGCAGAGAACCUCCUCUCCUUCAGAACCUCCUUCCAGAUCACCCUUGACAGGACGACCACCCUCUGAUCUCCCCUCUAUACAUACAUACACACACACACACACACACACACACACACACACACACACACACACCCUAAAUGGGCAACAGUGGAGCCAGGCCCAGAAGGCUCCAGUUGGUCGCAUUAACAUGGUUCAGAGAAAGAAACUGAAUCAAAGUCGUCUCUCUCAUUCUAGGGACUGGAGUCAAGGUGUUGAAUGCAAGUUGAACCUCAAGAGUAAGGGGAAAUGGAACCAGUGUCUGCAGGCCACUGUGUGCAGCCAAGUCCUCUCUGCAGUAGAUGAAGAGGAGGCCAAAGGCCCACAAAAGGGUCUUAGGAAGACUCCAAGACGUCUCUCUAGAAGGACAGAUCCGAGGUGACCAAACAAAAUGGAGCCUGCGGACCUGAAGUUUCAUUCAAAGGAUCCACAUGGGGCUCAGAACACUGUGAAACUUCAGUCCCAGAGCAACCAGUAAUGUCUUCUACACUAUCCUGUGACCAUGUCCAAAGCUUGAUGCCAAGUACCCACGUGGGAUGCACAAUGGUCUGCAACUCCAGUUCCAGAGCACCCAUGGCAACCUUCUGCCCUAUUCUGGGACCAGACAUGCAGCUGCUGCUUCAAACACUCGCACAGGCCAAACAGCUGUUCACAAAACUAUGCAAUGAUGCUUAA